AUGCAUUGGAAGUCGCAUACGCAUAUAGAUAGAUACACCAAGGAUCUUGUGAAACAGCUCAGGGAUAAUAAUGUUGGCCUCGGAAAGGUUUUCAGCAUUAUUGGUAGCUUAUUUGGUGUCACGGAGAAUGUGCCUUUUACAAAGAGGUCGUUGAAGACAUUAUGCAAGAAGCUCAACAAGGAGCAGUCGGAUUUUGAUGCUGUCAAGACUAUGAACCUGCUUGGGGAGAUGAAAGCUAACAAUCCAGAUUUCAACUACACCGUGCAGGUCGACGAGGAGAGCCGCAUAAAGACACUUAUGUGGGUGACUAGUAGGGGGUGCGAUCAGUACAGGUGUUUCGGAGAUGCAAUAACAUUUGACACAACCUACAGGACAAACUUGUAUGAUAUGCCAUUUGGUCUCUUUGUCCGCGUCAACAACCACUUCUAG
rnacentral:rRNA from 1 species